rnacentral:rRNA from 1 species
AGAUUGAACGCUGGCGGCAUGCCUUACACAUGCAAGUCGAACGGUAGAGUAGCAAUACUCGAGAGUGGCGAACGGGUGAGUAAUAUAUCGGAACGUGCCCAGUCGUGGGGGAUAACGUAGAGAAAUUUACGCUAAUACCGCAUACGACCUACGGGUGAAAGCGGAGGACCUUCGGGCUUCGCGCAGAUAGAUGAGCCGACGUCGGAUUAGCUAGUUGGCGGGUAAAGCCCACAAGGCGACGAUCCGUAGCUGGUCUGAGAGGAUGAUCAGCCACACUGGAACUGAGACACGGUCCAGACUCCUACGGGAGGCAGCAGUGGGGAAUAGUUGGACAAGUGGGCGCAAGCCUGAUCCAGCCAUGCCGCGUGUGUGAAGAAGGCCUUCGGUUGUAAAGCUACGUUUUGGUAACGGAAGAAAAGUCUUUACGGUUAAGUACCCGGUAAGUUCUAGUACGGUACCGUAAGUAAUAAGACGACCGACUAACUCGU